rnacentral:misc_RNA from 1 species
GGAUAUAAACAUGAGACUUUUCUCAUUAUUUCUGUAAUUUCUAUACAGGAGUUCCAGUCAAUUAACUUAAUAAGAUAGAACACCGGAGCAACAAUAUCAGCAACAACAGGCUUCUGGGAAAAUAAUUUUUUCCAGACUUCAAACAUCUUUCACAUAUGGAACACGGCAAGAAUGAACAUAGAUAAACAAUGACAAAUUCAAUUCCAUGAACAAUUUCUGUACAACAUGAGCAUUACCAAGGUUUAUAUGCUUAACAAUCAAUGGUGGAACAAGUUGAAGGAGGAUCUCAGCCAGUUGCUACCAGUUUUCCUUAACAAUCUUUGACUUCUCAAGAAUGAAUUUCCCUUCCUUGUACUUCUGAGAUACGUCAUAAGCUCGCUCGUACUUCCAACCCAAAACCUCACGGCAAUCAGCACAACAGAUAUCAGCAACAGUAUGGAGACCCGUUCGGAGAUGCCGAUUUUCUUUAGCUCCCACAAUGAUAUUCAUCGCGUGGGAGAACAGAAAGGCUCUGCCAUUUUUUCCCUAUGAACAAAAUGAUAGAAGGGAUUGUUGAACACUUCUUAUAACUUCCUACCAUUAAAAUAACCUCUAGAAGUUGAAAGGGUGAACAAAACUGAGUAACUAGAUCAAACCUGCAAUGCAAGAUUUAACUGAAAGCAAUCCCAAAUGAAAAUUUCUUCUCCUUAUUGUUGUUUCCAUUUCUCAAGACAGAAAAAACCAAUCAGGUACACCUGAAGGAUACUCCAGGUGAGGGUCAUGGGUUCAUUUCAGCACCCAAGCCCUUCAAUCGAAUGAACAUAAAGGAAAGCCCUCACCAAUAACAAUUGCUAUAACAGUUUGCCAUUUCAAUCAAAUGAUCAUAUACACAGAAUCCCACAUCACAGAAAGAAAUACAACAGCAAGUGUCACAAUUGAUUGAUCAAUUUCCACAACAAACUGCUAGAAAAUCUAGAAAAGAAAAUGAUUUAAGGGAUUCAAGUUCUUCACCUGAAAAGCCUUGGAAAUUAUAUCAUCAUGAAGAGAAACAUGGUUUCGACAAUUACAACAGCUGUACAAUCGAGGACCCACCAAUUCCGCCAUUAAUGAACAAUUUCAGGUCUAAUAAAUACCAAGAAAAAAAAAUCCAAAAAAGAAAAUUAAAUCACACAAACAACUCAGCUAAAUUCAACAAAACCCAAUACAACAAAAGCAAAAGUGAUCACUCACAAAGCAGAAAAAUUCCCAAGAGAUGGAAAGUGGAAAGCAAAGUUGCAGUUCUUUUACUGCAUAUGAUCAAAACAAGAGUCACAGAAGGAAUAUAUUCUUUGCCAACAAUGAAAUUCAAUAAUAACCCAAAAGUCUGCCAAGAAAAAGAGAAAGGAGGGUUAGCGUGAAAGAUUAGAACAGGGUUAAGAAAAGAUUCCAUGUAAGAUUAGAAUUAGCUAAUCAAAAUAUAAUAAUUCAAGAGAGAAAAAAAAAAGUGGGUUUUGAUUUUGAUAGAGACAGUAUUGCAAUGAAA